rnacentral:rRNA from 1 species
GACGAACGCUGGCGGCGUGCUUAACACAUGCAAGUCGAACGGAAAGGCCCUGCUUUUGUGGGGUGCUCGAGUGGCGAACGGGUGAGUAACACGUGAGUAACCUGCCCUUGACUUUGGGAUAACUUCAGGAAACUGGGGCUAAUACCGGAUAGGAGCUCCUGCUGCAUGGUGGGGGUUGGAAAGUUUCGGCGGUUGGGGAUGGACUCUCGGCUUAUCAGCUUGUUGGUGGGGUAGUGGCUUACCAAGGCUUUGACGGGUAGCCGGCCUGAGAGGGUGGCCGGCCACAUUGGGACUGAGAUACGGCCCAGACUCCUACGGGAGGCAGCAGUGGGGAAUAUUGCACAAUGGGCGGAAGCCUGAUGCAGCAACGCCGCGUGCGGGAUGACGGCCUUCGGGUUGUAAACCGCUUUCGCCUGUGACGAAGCGUGAGUGACGGUAAUGGGUAAAGAAGCACCGGCUAACUACGUG